UACAGAGGGUGCAAGCGUUAAUCGGAGUUACUGGGCGUAAAGGGCGCGUAGGCGGUCCUACAAGUGAGAUGUGAAAUCCCCCGGGCUCAACCUUGGAACUGCCUUUGAUACUGGAGAUCUUGAGUCCGGGAGAGGUGAGUGGAAUUGCGAGUGUAGAGGUGAAAUUCGUAGAUAUUCGCAAGAACACCAGUGGCGAAGGCGGCUCACUGGCCCGGAACUGACGCUGAGACGCGAAAGCGUGGGGAGCAAACAGG
rnacentral:rRNA from 1 species